UGCCAGAGCCAGAACUCCCUGCAGUUCUUCCCUGGUUUCCCACUGAAACUAACAGGAUUGAGCCUGGUUAGUACAUGGAUGGGAGACUUCCUGGGGAAAGCUAAGGUUGCUGUUGGAA
rnacentral:rRNA from 1 species